rnacentral:rRNA from 1 species
GAAUAUUGGACAAUGGGGGGAACCCUGAUCCAGCCAUGCCGCGUGGGUGAAGAAGGCCUUUUGGUUGUAAGGCACUUUAGGCGAGGAGGAGGCCACUCUGGUUAAUACCUAGAGAAGGUGGAGGUUACUCGAAGAUUAAGCACGGCCUACCCCGUUCCCACCAGCCGCGGUAAUACGGAGGGUGCAAGCGUUAAUCGGAUUUACUGGGCGUAAAGCGCGCGUAGGUGGCCAAUUAAGUCAAAUGUGAAAUCCCCGAGCUUUACUUGGGAAUUGCAUUCGAUACUGGUUGGCUAGAGUAUGGGAGAGGAUGGUAGAAUUCCAGGUGUAGCGGUGAAAUGCGUAGAGAUCUGGAGGAAUACCGAUGGCGAAGGCAGCCAUCUGGCCUAAUACUGACACUGAGGUGCGAAAGCAUGGGGAGCAAAC